CAGCCGCCGCGGUAAUACGUAGGUGGCGAGCGUUGUCCGGAAUCAUUGGGCGUAAAGGGCUCGCAGGCGGUAUCUUAAGUCUGAUGUGAAAGCCCCCGGCUCAACCGGGGAGGGUCAUUGGAAACUGGGAAACUUGAGUGCAGAAGAGGAGAGUGGAAUUCCACGUGUAGCGGUGAAAUGCGUAGAGAUGUGGAGGAACACCAGUGGCGAAGGCGACUCUCUGGUCUGUAACUGACGCUGAGGAGCGAAAGCGUGGGGAGCGAACAGGAUUAGAUACCCCGGUAGUCCCUGUCUCUUAUAA
rnacentral:rRNA from 1 species